GCAAGUCGAGCGGUAAGGCCCUUCGGGGUACACGAGCGGCGAACGGGUGAGUAACACGUGGGUGAUCUGCCCUGCACUUCGGGAUAAGCCUGGGAAACUGGGUCUAAUACCGGAUAUGACCUUCGGCUGCAUGGCUGAGGGUGGAAAGGUUUACUGGUGCAGGAUGGGCCCGCGGCCUAUCAGCUUGUUGGUGGGGUAAUGGCCUACCAAGGCGACGACGGGUAGCCGACCUGAGAGGGUGACCGGCCACACUGGGACUGAGACACGGCCCAGACUCCUACGGGAGGCAGCAGUGGGGAAUAUUGCACAAUGGGCGAAAGCCUGAUGCAGCGACGCCGCGUGAGGGAUGACGGCCUUCGGGUUGUAAACCUCUUUCAGCAGGGACGAAGCGAAAGUGACGGUACCUGCAGAAGAAGCACCGGCCAACUACGUGCCAGCAGCCGCGGUAAUACGUAGGGUGCAAGCGUUGUCCGGAAUUACUGGGCGUAAAGAGUUCGUAGGCGGUUUGUCGCGUCGUCUGUGAAAACUCGAGGCUCAACCUCGAGCUUGCAGGCGAUACGGGCAGACUUGAGUACUGCAGGGGAGACUGGAAUUCCUGGUGUAGCG
rnacentral:rRNA from 1 species